AUGGAAGUUUGCACCGGCAAGCUUCAAGAUCUUGACAUAACCUCAGACAUGAACGGAAAGACGGACGAUGGCGCCGAGGUGGGAACGGAGCCCGACCACGCCGUAUUUGAAAGGGACUACCUAGGCGAUGACGACGAGGAAUUGGAGCCCGAAGUAAUGUUAGGUGUCUUGCGGAAACCAAAGGAACCACAACACUUCCAUUCUCUUCUUCCCCAACACUUACCCAGUAAAGCUGGCGGUGCCCCGGCCUGGCUUGAUCCUGUCAAUUUGCCAUCUGGAAAAUCCAGUUGCUGUGACUUCUGUGGUGACCCACUGCGUUUUGUCAUGCAGGAGACGACCUACCACCGCGCAUUCUUUGUGUUUAUGUGUCCGUCCAUGUCAUGCUUACAACUGGACCAGCGCGAGCAGGGGAAGGACAGGGCAGCAAAUGCUAGAAGGAGUGUGAAGGUCUUCAGGUGCCAGCUGCCCAGAAUUAAUGCAUUUUAUACUCCUGAAGAGCCUAAGGGGUGCAUGGGAUCACAAUGUUCAGGAGCAUACCGUGCUCGGCUUUGUGAUUGGUGUGGUACAUGGAAAGGUGAAAUUUUGUGCAGCCACUGUAGCAAAGCAAGCUACUGUUCUAGAAAGCAUCAGGAAUUGCAUUGGCACGCUAGUCAUGAGAAUGAUUGCUCUCAAAUACCAGGUUCACCAGAUGCUUCUAUUCUGCCAGUCGCAGCAAAAGGUUUAUUUCCUGGCCACGCAUGGCCUGAAUAUGCGGCGGAUCAUGUACCUGAGCCGUCAUGUUCGACUAGUUCUAUCAAGGAUACUUCAGAACUGAUGAUGGUAGAAGGAGAAGUCGAAUCAGAUGCCAUGAUGCAGUUAUUCAUGGACCAGUUUGAGGAUGAUGAGGACAAUACAUGCUGGGCAUCUUUCAGAGACCGUGUUUCAAGACAGACUCAAGUCUUGAGGUACUGUGCGAAGGAAGAUGCAGAACCUCUUUGGGCAGUAUCAACUGGGUCUCUGACAGGUGACGAUAUCCCUUUGUGCAUCUAUUGUAAUGGGCAACUUCGCUAUGAAUUUCAGCUAAUUUCUCAACUGCUCCAUUACUUCCAUGUUGAAAAUGAACGAGACCCCGUCGACUGGGCAACAAUAGUUGUGUACACAUGUCGAGAGUCAUGUGAUGAAAGUGUUAGUUACAAGGAAGAAUUUGUAUGUGUUCAGUUUUCUCCGCCUACAAGAAGAACAUAUCGCAGUACUCCUUAG
rnacentral:rRNA from 1 species